rnacentral:tRNA from 1 species
GCCCUAAUAGCUUAGUAAAAGCAUCGGUCUUGUAAUCCGAAGAUCGGAGGUUAAAAUCCUCCUUAGUGCC